AAUAUUUGUCAUUUAUAUCUUCUAGUGAAAAUGCUCCUUAUUGUGAGUAAUAUUACACAAUGUUGGCAAACCUGAUAAUUGAGUAUGUAUUUCUAUCUCGUCGUCUGCAUUAAAGGGCAAGUGACAGUUCGAGCUUUAUUGUUGACAUUCCUAUGAAAAUUAUAUUAGUGUGUAGUACUUAAAAUUAAAAAUGUAAUUUUGAAUAUAAUUAAUAUUGAAAUACAAGUGAACUGUUUUUCUUUGAUAAUAAGAACCAUUAAACGAUUUUAGUGAAUUAUGUAUUCAUAAGAAGAAAACUUAACUAUUAAAUAAUAAUUGGUGUUUGAGAAAGUUUUAAUUAUAUAGAAUUAAUAAAUUUAAAAUAUUUAGCGCAUGCAAGUUUAAUUUAUAGAUUUUUCAAUUGUUUCAUAUUGGUUGUUAUCAUUUAAUAGCUCUAACAAUGACUGAUUAUUGGAAAACUUCGAGGCAUCGCCGUAAACGUUGUUCUCAGUAGUAUGUUCUCGAUAGUGAAUAUAAAGUGAAUAUAAAGUGCAUGUGUAAAAGUGAAUCAAUCCGUAUGGUAUUACAGCGUCACUUUCUAAAAAAAAUUAAUAAUUUCCUUGAUUGAUUCGAGGUCCAAUGAGUGAGGAAAUCGAUCAGUGGUUCCUGUUGUAUGUUGUAACGAAAAUAAAGUAAUCGAUUCGAAUCGGUAAAAUUCUGGCUGAAGUGGUAAAACGGACAAAGAGAAAGACGAUUUCGGCAUGAUCUGUGGAGAUAACAAGAUCUCGUUAGAAAUAUUGGGCGGGGAGGAGGAGGCAUGGAAGCUGAAGCUGGUCGGCAGUCUCACCAUCAGAGGCUGCAGCUUACCCUGUCAUCCCCGGGAAUCCCCGGACUGGACGUCGUAAGAGCAUUGCAUCAGACUGUGAUAUCUUUGCGUUCUGCGCUGGAUUCCUCACGGGAAGAGCUUCGUCGUCUUAAGGAAAGGUUUGGUGAUUUUUCUGGCGAAAGCUAUGUUAACGUUGUCGAGAGGCUCGCUCUUGAGAAUCAUGUCCUUAGACGAAAGAUCCUAAGCAGGAACAGUGAAUUUUCUAACGAUGCUGCUACAAGUCCGCCACCUCAGGCCCUCUUUUCUUCAUUCGCAGUAGAAGACAUCGAAGAUCUGUCAGAGGAAGUAGGCGUACUCAUGGACGAAUCCAGGGACGAACUAGUCGCGGAGGACAUGCCAGAGGCAUCUAAACCGGUCAUUGGGCCGUGUACCGACAUCAACGCUGGAAAUAACAAUGAGAAUCCUGAUUAUUCUCAUACAGCUGAGAAAAUGUCCAAGAAUGCACAAUCCUUCUCGAAAUCAGAAUCUAAGGACAUCGGAUUGAAGUGCACCAUGUCUAAGGACUCUAUUUCUGUUAAACCUUUAAUUGGAAUAUCUAGCGUCGAUUUGGAUGACACGUUGAAAAACGAGACUUCUGCUUUGACCAAUACUAGACAAUCCAAAGAUAUUGAAGAGGAGGAUGCGAUCGAGGUUCAAAUUGAUCAUUUGGAGGUGCAAGAGAAGGAUCUCGAGGAUUUAAGUUUGAAGUCUGUCUCCGAUGGAGACAAUUCGGUGUUCAGCGAUAAUCCGGACACGCAAGUGUCGCAGCAAAAUCAACGUCAAAAUCAAACGGUGGAUCAACCGAAACCGAACGAUCAAUCCGAGAACGAAUCUGAAGAGCUCGAUGAUAUCGAGUUGAUAUUCACGACGGACGAGACUUGUCGCGAUCUCGGUCUUCAAGAGGACCUCGUCUCCAUAACGGAAACCGAAUCCUGGCAGCAGGCUGUACCCGCUGGUCAACCGGUAUUAUUGAAAUAUACCAAAUCAACCGAAGGUGAAUCGUUGGUGUGCAACGGUGAGAAGACUAGCUCUGUCGAAGAGGCGGUUUCCUCGCAGAGUUCGAGUAUCGAUCGCGAGGAAAGCGUGGACAGGUUCGACGAGGGUUCUAGCACCAGGUUGAACAAAAUAUGGUCGCAGUGUUCGGUGUUGGUUGAAACGGAUAUCAGCAAGUGUGGAAUCGUCGAAGAGCCUGAACAUGCUACCAGACAUGCGGUUAGAAGGAACACUUUAGCUGCACCACCCACUGCCUACAGACCGAUCAUCCAUCGUGAAGCUCUGGCGGGUAACCGACGAAAGAGCGUGGCACCAUUGAGACCAGUGAUGGACAGGAUCACCGGUGCAAGACGAGAAUCUGGCGCCCAAACAGACAUUUCUGCGCUUCCAGCCCAUUGGCGUUCCGAGAGUUAUCUCGCGCAUAAAGUGGCUCAUACGUUCACCACGUUGCCCAGCAAAUUUGCUUUGCCGGCCGGGGUGCCUGGAAGGCUUCGAUUAUCCGAUAAAACCCGAGAGGCGAGAAGAGUCAUGCUGUCCGACAUCAGUUUCACCAGUAUGGUACCGGAACUGUCGAGAAGUGCCGAUCAUCUCUGCCACGAUUCACACGCACAGACUUGCUUCAGUUCCCGAGGUUGUGGACUUCGUACACCGGACGUGCAUCGGCGAGAAUCAUUGGGCUCUCCUGCAGGAUUCUGGCCCCGUUGCAACCCUGCCACAGGACUGCCGAGUCCCUGCGACUGUCGUCUCUCGACCGACCUUUAUUCUUCGCGAUACCGCGGUUCAUUGUCCUCGAUCCCAUCGCCCGGAUUGGAGGUGGUCGGCGGUCCACCGCGUAGACACUCGUGGAGAGCGACCGCGGCGUCCUUCGACACUUGGAGAGUUCCGCUCGCCACUUCCACCCCGAGACCCACCUGGUCUUCUAUGCCCUCUUCUCCUACCCACGUGCACCCGCCUGCUACGUCCUCGAAAACUUCUAAGAGCGUUCCUAAGAGAACUAGAUCGAAGGUCACCUUUCAAGAAUGCCCGAUGACGCGUGGCAGCUUGCCAAAUCUGCGCUCGGAUUUGGUGACCGGCGAUAACAGCGGCGAUUCGACCGAGUCGUUGAUCGACGAGGCCGAGGAUUAUUUGCGACGAAGCAUCGACUCGAUGCUGACAAUAUCCAGUAGCGGCGUCAGUUCCGAUUACUGGAACAGACAGACAGCUAGGCGGAGACGUACACGGCGAUACUCUGAGCCGGAUCUAAUCCGUGACUGGCAUCCGCCACAGGAUGCCAGACCGUACCUGCCAAAGAUACCAAGAGAUCUAAAGCUGGAUCAUCUCGUGAAGAUUAUAUCGCCAGAGGGUAAAGUUCUUCAAGGGCGAGUGAGAUACGUGGGUCCUGUACCAGGCCGCGAGGAGACUCACGUAGGCGUGGAGUUACCUUACUCGAAUGGCUCCUCCGAUGGCACGUUUCACGGGAGAAGAUUCUUCGAUUGCGAUCCCGAUCGAGCGAUCUUCGUCCCGUUCAAGAAAGUGAUUCUGGCCUGGUGCACCACUUGACCCGAGCCUCCGAGCAACCGAACAACUCCCCGAAUUCUAUUGUCCCAGUUCACCAUGUGAAUCGAAAAACAGAGAAACUACGGUGAACCGAAUAACGUACGUUUCGUCUCCGCCGGUUUCAACGAUAAAUUUUUUAAGCAGCAUCUCCUCUUCUCUAUCUCUUCUGGUUAACAUCUGUUAUAACAACUCCGCGCACAGCACACCAGUGGACGCGUUUACACCGAAGUGACAAUAUCGAUUCCUCGUUGCAACCACGCAAAGUGUUUUAAACCUCGUGAUAAAACGUCACGGCGAUGAUAAUCAAAACUAUGAAUCAACGUGGUCGCCAAUCAGAGUCUGAUGCCACAGAGAUUCACGCGUGCCCCGAUUAAAACAUGGCUGCGAUCCUCUAUCCAAAUAUGUUCGCGUGAUCACGAAAUACUGUUCGAAACACUGCGUAUUACAAAGCAUCGCGUGUGUGUAUACACUUGUCGGAAGAAAUAUAGUAGCGCUGAUAAACUUGGCGAAUUUAAGUCAAAGGAAACUAUGUUAAAGGAAAUCUGAUGAAUUUUUAUUAAUUAAUUGUUGAAUGAAAAUCGUUGUUCGAUUUUUCAUUUCACUAAUUUUAAUUUUAAUUUUGUCAAAUGAUAACAUCCUUAAUUAUAUUUGAAACAAAAAUUUUAUUUUUUUGAUCGAAGGAUAUUUUUAUUCCAAUAUGAUGAUAUUUUAUUAUCCUUGAAUUUUUUCGAAAAGGAAACUUCUUUAUGAAAAAAUGUCGCGUAAUAUUUUUUACUUAUUCUUCCACGCAGAACUUAUUUUUCUACUCUCUUUCUUUCUUUCCCUUUUUCUCUCUCUCUCUCUCUCUCUCUCUCGGGUCAUCGACAUUGCUCGACUUCUUUUGAAUUUCCGCUGAAACGCACUAAAACAUCGUUCUGAGAAUGCACUAUAUUUCUUCAAACUCGAGUACAUCUGUGCAUAAUAUAUUUUAAAGAGAGGAGCGUGCAAAAGAGCGCGUGAUACUCGGUGAAAAGCGACUGUUCGCUUGUUUAAGAAAGAUGCAAAGAGAAAAAGGUAAGGAGAAAAUGACAAAGAGGAAAAGAUAAAAUGGUAGGAAAGAAAAAGAGAAGAAUUCCUAAUCGGAGGCUAUACACA